CAUAAUUGUUUUUUUAUAUGUAUAUAGUUUCAUGUCUAAAUAUUUGUUGGAUUUAAAAAAGGAAUCACAUUGAAAUACAUAAUCAAAUAUAUUAUAUUUUGUAUUGUUUUCAGAUAUAUCUAAAUGUACAUUGCUUUAUAUGUUUAUAUAGUUUUACUUUUCAUAUUUAAUUUGCCUUUCUACUUGAUGCUUCUGCUUUCUAGUCCCGUACUGUAAGAUAGAAUGCAUGUCCAAUAUAUGUUUUCCAGGCAAUAUUCCUGUUAGUAAACUAUAUAGCAUUGAAUAUCAAAUACGUUAAAAAUGCAUGUUUUAUUAAAUGUAAAUUAUUAUAAAAAAAAAUCAAUAUCACAUUCUUCAGUUGGUCUUAAGUGGCCGAUAUUUUCAAAUUUAUAAUGCUAAUAAUGUUAUUUGGUUGUCUAUUAUCAUUAAAAUUGAAGCUUGAUCUUUAACUUGUUUUCUAAAUAUUUUGUUUUAAAUUUGUGUAUAUAACUGAUAUGGUUAUGAUUGUUGUUUUAUGUUGUUUUAUGUUAUUUCAUUUCUCUGAAAAGCUUUUUUUUUAAUUAUAUACAUGAAUGUAAAUCAAACCCUUGUGAAAAUGCUGGAAGUUGUACGGAUCGUGUGAACAGAAACAUAGAUGAUCAUGCGAGAUUCACUUUGGUAAAGGAGAUGAAUUUGUUAGACAAGUGUUUCAUGAUGACAACAACUUUUUUGUGGGACCCCGGGGAACAACCAGCAACAUUGUCAAAUGCAUGAUAGCCUAUUAAAAGACAGGAAUAAUGCUUUUAAGGAGAUUACGAAUUAUCUAACGCACACAAUGCAGAAGUAGAAGCUCCGUGGAAAAUACAACGACAUGAAGCCCGUUCAUUCCUUACAUCUCCAACAAGAAACAGAAGAAGUGAUCCUAGAUGCAAUACAGACGAGCUUUAUUGUGAAAACAACAAAGACAGUUGUAUGGAGCACAAUGAACAAUCACGGGAGUAUUAUUGUGAGGAUAAUACAUGCACCUCUACACAAGCAUGUUACCUAUCUACACCCUGUCCAGCACAUUACACAUUAGGCUGCUCAGAUAAUCGGUGCCUCUCUUUCCCUUGCUAUAACGGAGCCACAUGUCAUGAUACAAGUACCAGCUUCACUUGUCAAUGUGUACAAGGCUGGGAUCCAGCGGAUUAUUGUAAGACAGAAAAAAAUGAAUGUGCAUCUAACCCGUGUCAAAAUGGCGGUGUAUGUACAGACAAGUUUAAUGACUACAGUUGUUCCUGUCCUCCAGGUUAUACAGGAAAGAUCUGUC